GCGCUGGUCAGAGGCCCCUGAGCGUGGAUAUGGCGAUGGCGGCGAUGAUGAUGAAGAUCACCAAGGCGACGGCGACCACCACGGAGCAGAUGAUGUUGGCCACCCUGGCGCGGUCGCCGUGGCGCCGAGCACCCUCCAGUCAGGAAUUUGUUCGGCUGUGCCAAGAGGGAGGGGAAUUCUACGUUUUUCUUCGAAAGACUGUUCAGAGGGCCGAUGAUCUGAACAUCCAGAGAUUGGGAGAAGCCAGAAGGCCAUUAGCAAACAUUAGGGAACAUUAGCGACCAUUAACCAACAUCACCUCCCUGUCCGGGAAAUUAAUCGUCGAGAGAAACCGAAAAAUGAGGAACAAAUUAGCAUCAGAGGCGAAGGGAUCAAGAACCCAAGAACCCAUAGGAGAUCUAAUACUAAGAAUUGUAAUUCUUAAUUGUCA